CACAUGGUAAUGAUUCCAGAAAUUAGAGUUUAGUGUAUUACUGAGUCCUGGUCUUGGAAGGACAGAUGAGAAGAGCAGUUCAGGAUUUUUGCUUAGCACAUCAUUCCUGUUCACAGGAAGGGGAAGGAUGGAGUCCUGUAAGACCAGAAGAUCAAGGAGAACAUAUGACCACCCUUUGUUUGCAAAUACUUUGGCUCACCUCAAUGAGGCUGGAAGAAGAGAUGUACAGAUCUAUGCAUAUGAAUCUCAUUAGACUGGGAAAGGUUAUUCAGGAUUCCUUUCCUCUCUGGAUUUUCAUAUGUCAGAAAACUGUAACUUGUAUAUUCAAAAAUUAAUCCUUGU
rnacentral:lncRNA from 12 species